CACGUAGGGGGCGAGCGUUGUCCGGAUUUAUUGGGCGUAAAGAGCUCGUAGGCGGCUCGGUAAGUCAGGUGUGAAAACUCUAGGCUCAACCUAGAGACGCCACCUGAUACUGCUGUGGCUAGAGUCCGGUAGGGGAGCAUGGAAUUCCUGGUGUAGCGGUGAAAUGCGUAGAUAUCGGGAGGAACACCUGUGGCGAAAGCGGCGCACUGGACCACAACUGACGCUGAGGCGCGAAAGCUAGGGGAGCAAACAGG
rnacentral:rRNA from 1 species